ACUGGUUUUAUUCUACUGAGAACUAUUCAAUGACAUUUCACGCUAUGCUCAGUUAACUCACCAGAACUGAACUAUAAACCUUCAGAAGGGAGAAAGAGAGAAAGAGCAAGAGAUGCUUACCCUCCAUGCUUUUCCUUACCUCAGAAAGAAGUUAUGAUUGUCUUCUUUGAUAUUCAGCAUAAAGAGGGGAGUGUUACUAAAAAUUGAUGGCUGGAAAAUUACUGUCUCCUAUAGAGUGAUGCUGGGAGCCACACCGGCCUUGCUGGAUGACAGUCACAGCGAGGAAAUGGCA